rnacentral:snRNA from 1 species
AUAAUUUCUGGGCCCUUUUGCUAAGAUCAAGUAUAAUAUCUGUUCUUAUUGUUAUAACAUUUGAUUCUUCCUCUGAGAACAAUUUAUUAGACAUAUUUUUGGAGCUGGAAUAUGGAACUGGUGUUCGAAUACCACCCUGAUACUGCAGUACCUACAGGAAAUUACCCCUU